UACAGAGGGCGCGAGCGUUAAUCGGAAUAACUGGGCGUAAAGGGCGCGUAGGCGGUUGUAUGAGUGUGAUGUGAAAGCCCUGGGCUUAACCUAGGAAGUGCAUCGCAAACGAUACAACUGGAGUAGUGGAGAGGGUAGCGGAAUUUCCGGUGUAGCGGUGAAAUGCGUAGAUAUCGGAAGGAACGUCAAUGGCGAAGGCAGCUACCUGGCCACAUACUGACGCUGAGGCGCGAAAGCGUGGGGAGCAAACAGG
rnacentral:rRNA from 1 species